rnacentral:rRNA from 1 species
GAGGAAUAUUGGGCAAUGGGCGAAAGCCUGACCCAGCAACGCCGCGUGGAGGAUGAAUGUCGUAAGAUUGUAAACUCCUUUUGAAGGGGACGAAAAAAUAGGUUUGUAGCCUAUAUUGACUGUACCCUUAGAAGAAGCCCCGGCUAACUACGUGCCAGCAGCCGCGGUAAUACGUAGGGGGCAAGCGUUGUCCGGAUUCACUGGGUGUAAAGGGCGCGUAGGCGGGUUUGUAAGUCAGUGGUGAAAUCCUACAGCUUAACUGUAGAACUGCCUCUGAUACUGCAAGCCUUGAGUAUGGAAGAGAGUGACGGAAUUCCAGGUGUAGUGGUGAAAUACGUAGAUAUCUGGAAGAACACCAGUGGCGAAGGCGGUCACUUGGUCCAUUACUGACGCUGAGGCGCGAAAGCGUGGGGAGCAAAC